rnacentral:rRNA from 1 species
AAAGGUUGGCUAAUACCGCAUACGCCCUACGGGGGAAAGCAGGGGAUCUUCGGACCUUGCGUUAAUGGAGCGGCUGAUAUCUGAUUAGCUAGUAGGUGAGGUAAAGGCUCACCUAGGCUUCGAUCAGUAGCUGGUCUGAGAGGACGACCAGCCACACUGGAACUGAGACACGGUCCAGACUCCUACGGGAGGCAGCACUGGGGAA